AACGCGAAGAACCUUACCAAGGCUUGACAUAUAGCGAAAAGUGACAGAGAUGUCAUGUCCGCAAGGGCGCUAUACAGGUGGUGCAUGGUUGUCGUCAGCUCGUGUCGUGAGAUGUUGGGUUAAGUCCCGCAACGAGCGCAACCCUCGUUCUGUGUUGCCAGCAUUUAGUUGGGGACUCACAGGAGACUGCCGGGGUCAACUCGGAGGAAGGUGGGGAUGACGUCAAAUCAUCAUGCCCCUUAUGUCUUGGGCUGCACGCAUGCUACAAUGGCCGGUACAAAGGGCUGCGAAACCGUAAGGUGGAGCGAAUCCCAUAAAGCCGGCCUCAGUUCGGAUUGGGGUCUGCAACUCGACCCCAUGAAGUUGGAGUUGCUAGUAAUCGUAGAUCAGCAACGCUACGGUGAAUACGUUCCCGGGUCUUGUACACACCG
rnacentral:rRNA from 1 species